rnacentral:rRNA from 1 species
UUUUGCCUACGGGGGGCAGCAGUGAGGAAUAUUGGUCAAUGGGCGAGAGCCUGAACCAGCCAAGUCGCGUGAGGGAAGACGGUCCUAUGGAUUGUAAACCUCUUUUGCCGGGGAGCAAAAAGCGGUACGUGUACCGCAUCGAGAGUACCCGGAGAAAAAGCAUCGGCUAACUACGUGCCAGCAGCCGCGGUAAUACGUAGGUGGCGAGCGUUAUCCGGAAUGAUUGGGCGUAAAGGGUGCGUAGGCGGCCUGCUAAGUCUGGAGUGAAAGGUACCGGCUCAACCGGUACAGGCUCUGGAAACUGG